UUUAACACAAAGCUCUCAAAAUGUUGUCGGUAAUCUCCGUGUACAGAUUACAAAUAAAGAGACUCACGCUGGGUACAUAUGAUACAGAGUGGUGGUAGAUCAGCGGCGAUUAAAACUAGUGACUGAGACAGCCAUAAUAUUAUAGAUCCUAUUCAAGACAUGCAGACAAUAGGACGCACUGCCUAGAGAAGUUUGAAAUGAACUUGACCUACAGAAAAAACCCUCAAAGAAACUGCGUGAUAUAGUGGAAAAAACAACAUGACAUAAUUUAUUCAAGGAAAUGGUCUUGGAUCUUAUGAAAAUUCUUAGAAAAAUCACUGACAGAAGCGAGUCAUAACUAAAUGAAAGGAAUGUGGAUAGGAGAAAAACUACGAAUGUAAAUUCGCGGGAUAGUUGCCGAAAGAGUGAACCAACUUUAACUGCUGAACAGUUCAUGUUUAUAUUCAUAGUCAUAUUUAUGUUUUGUUUUAUUUUAUUUUGUUUCGGUUUUUUGUUUUGUUUUGUUUUAAUACAUUGUUGUUUGUUUUAGUUUAUUGUUUUUUUAAUGAAGGGAUUACAAAAUAUAUUUAUUUGUGUUUUUAAUUUUUAAAUUUUUUUUUUUUUACUUUACUGAAUCAGUAAGAUCUCAUCUCAAACUGCCUCAGUUGCAGCCAUAUUUCCUUCCAUUGGAUCACUGUUAGACGACCCCAACCGUUCAUUUCCGUCAGAAUUCGUAAAUCCUCCGAAGUGUUCCGAACAGACAUAAACACAUCUGUUUAUUGUACAUUUAUUAUUA